GCUUUGGUUUGACAGCAUAUACUAAAAUUAGAACAAUACAGAGAAAAUUAGCAUGGCCCCUGUGCAAGCAUGACACACAAAUUUGGGAAGUGCUCCAUAUUUGG